rnacentral:ncRNA from 1 species
UUCUUAUCCAGAGUGGCGGAGGGACUGGCCCGAUGAAGCCCGGCAACCUCGGUAUAUCCUUACCGGAAGGUGCCAAAUCCUGCAGUGCACAUGAUGCACUGAGAGAUAAGAA